UGCUCAGGUUCUACUGGCUCAACUGUUGCCA
rnacentral:piRNA from 1 species